rnacentral:rRNA from 1 species
AGCGAACGCUGGCGGCAGGCCUAACACAUGCAAGUCGAACGGACCCUUCGGGGUUAGUGGCGGACGGGUGAGUAACACGUGGGAACGUGCCCUUUGGUACGGAACAACUCAGGGAAACUUGAGCUAAUACCGUAUAAGCCCUACUGGGGAAAGAUUUAUCGCCAUUGGAGCGGCCCGCGUCUGAUUAGCUAGUUGGUGAGGUAAAGGCUCACCAAGGCUACGAUCAGUAGCUGGUCUGAGAGGANGAUCAGCCACAUUGGGACUGAGACACGGCCCAAACUCCUACGGGAGGCUGCAGUAACGAAUCUUCCGCAAUGCACGCAAGUGUGACGGAGCGACGCCGCGUGUGGGACGAAGCCCUUCGGGUGUAACCACUGUCAGGGAUAGAAAGUUCUGAUCGUCCCCAGAGGAAGGCACGGCUAACUCUGUGCCAGCAGCCGCCGCU